rnacentral:lncRNA from 1 species
AAGGAAAAGCAAUAUUGAUCUUCACAAAUUAUAAAAACUGAUCGGAAUGAUAUGUACAGAUCAGUAUUCGGCUGAGAGUCGGGAAAGCCCAUUAGAUCAUACUCCGGAAUGCCACUGUUCAUGCAGAAACUCGAGGAGGAUCGACACCUUCACCUGGUGCUCACUGGGACUGGGACUCAUGACAAGAAGAUUUUAAUUCCCCAGAACUCUUCGACGUCGAACUCCAUACCAGCUCGAUCUCUCCGUCGCCAACUUCAAACUUGGCCAAAAAGACGAUGAUGAUUACUGACUUGGUCGUGAUGCCAGGUAACUAUCCAUCCAUCACUAAGAGAACCAAAAUGUUUUGUUUAGUAAAUUAUUAGAUCCCAGUUGAAGAAAAAGGAGGUCGUCAGGUGUUAGCCUUGAUGCAAAGAACAUGGAACAUGGUCCAUGAUAGAAGAAACACAAACAGGAAGAAGAGAUGAUCUCCAUGUUCCUCCCUCUUAUUCAACAAUUUAUUGGUGCGUACUCCAUUGCGUUACCUCCUCCUCUGCAAACGG